UCCUCAGGCGCGUGAGAGAAACCAUGCUAAGGAACUCUGCAAACUAAGUCCGUACCUUCGGAAGAAGGACUGCCCGUAGUAGGUGAUGCUCCUCGCGAGCGGAGCCCAGGCGGGUUGCAGCGAAAGGGCCCAGGCGACUGUUUAGCAAAAACACAGCACUCUGCAAACGCGUAAGCGGACGUAUAGGGUGUGACGCCUGCCCGGUGCCGGAAGGUUAAUUGAUUGGGUUAGCUUCGGCGAAGCUCAUGAUCGAAGCCCCGGUAAACGGCGGCCGUAACGAUAACGGUC
rnacentral:rRNA from 1 species